CGGCUCAGUAACACGUAGUCAACAUGCCCAGGGGACGUGGAUAACCUCGGGAAACUGAGGAUAAACCGCGAUAGGUCAUCACUUCUAGAAUGGGUAAUGACUUAAAUCUAUAUGGCCCCUGGAUUGGACUGCGGCCGAUCAGGCUGUUGGUGAGGUAAUGGCUCACCAAACCUGUAACCGGUACGGGCUCUGAGAGGAGGAGCCCGGAGAUGGGCACUGAGACAAGGGCCCAGGCCCUAUGGGGCGCAGCAGGCGCGAAACCUCUGCAAUAGGCGAAAGCUUGACAGGGUUACUCUGAGUGAUUUCCGUUAAGGAGAUCUUUUGGCACCUCUAAAAAUGGUGCAGAAUAAGGGGUGGGCAAGUCUGGUGUCAGCCGCCGCGGUAAUACCAGCACCCCGAGUGGUCGGGACGUUUAUUGGGCCUAAAGCAUCCGUAGCCGGUUCUACAAGUCUUCCGUUAAAUCCACCUGCUUAACAGAUGGGCUGCGGAAGAUACUAUAGAGCUAGGAGGCGGGAGAGGCAAGCGGUACUCGAUGGGUAGGGGUAAAAUCCGUUGAUCCAUUGAAGACCACCAGUGGCGAAGGCGGCUUGCCAGAACGCGCUCGACGGUGAGGGAUGAAAGCUGGGGGAGCAAACCGGAUUAGAUACCCGGGUAGUCCCAGCUGUAAACGAUGC
rnacentral:rRNA from 1 species